CAAGAAAGACAGCAAAUUUAUCGUCGCGAGUGGCAGACGUCAAAGAGAACGAAAACACAGACUUUAACCGCAGGCAAGUUGCAGGAAGCAGCUGAAGUAAAGGAAGCCAAGAGCAUCCUCAUUCACAUCAAGGACAGAGACUGUGUGGCUCUGGAGGUGCAGUACCACAGAAGUUGCUACAGAGAGUACACAAGGUUUUUGAGUGAGCCUGUCAGAGCAGAGAAAGAACAGAUUGGGCCAACAUUUGAUCUGAGCUACAAGUUAUUUUGCCGAGAGGGUAAUCCGCUAAAGGCUACUGAUCAACCAAGAGGUGCUGAGGAUGAGCCAACUGAGGAAGGCCUUUAUUGCCCUUGUGCAGUCAAGUGAAGGUGUUGAUGCUUCAACCUACAGACAGGAUAUAUUGAAGAAGAGGCUCAGUCGUGAUUUUCCUCAGCUAGUGUUCCACACCCCCGCCAAACGCAACACAUCUGAACUGGUUUUUGCUGAGAACUUGUCGACGAAUGCAGUCUUGGACUUGUUACCAUCAGGUGCGGAGACGACUCAGUCCACCGAAAUGAGCCAGACAG